rnacentral:tRNA from 1 species
GAACCAGCUUGUCGAUGGACAGAAGCAGCUGCUCGCUGGUGCCGGGCAGCUAAGUCAGGGAGGAGCUCAGCUCUCCGAUGGUUUG